rnacentral:rRNA from 1 species
UGGGGAAUAUUGGACAAUGGGGGCAACCCUGAUCCAGCAAUGCCGCGUGUGUGAAGAAGGUCUUCGGAUUGUAAAGCACUUUCGACGGGGACGAUGAUGACGGUACCCGUAGAAGAAGCCCCGGCUAACUUCGUGCCAGCAGCCGCGGUAAUACGAAGGGGGCUAGCGUUGCUCGGAAUGACUGGGCGUAAAGGGCGUGUAGGCGGUUUACACAGUCAGAUGUGAAAUCCCCGGGCUUAACCUGGGAGCUGCAUUUGAUACGUGUAGACUAGAGUGUGAGAGAGGGUUGUGGAAUUCCCAGUGUAGAGGUGAAAUUCGUAGAUAUUGGGAAGAACACCGGUGGCGAAGGCGGCAACCUGGCUCAUGACUGACGCUGAGGCGCGAAAGCGUGGGGAGCAAACAGGAUUAGAUACCCUGGUAGUCCACGCCUGUAAACGAUGUGUGCUAGAUGUUGGGUAACUUUGUUAUUCAGUGUCGCAGUUAACGCGUUAAGCACACCGCCUGGGGAGUACGGCCGCAAGGUUGAAA